GCAUCCAUGGCUGAAUGGUUAAAGUGCCCAACUCAUAAUUGGUGAAUUUGUAGGUUCAAUUCCUGAUAAGGGAUGUA
rnacentral:tRNA from 1 species